AAUGCCACUGCCACCCACUCUUGACGCUGUCUCUACAACAUUCCGAUCAACCACGGAAGACGAAGCAGAGCCGACUAAGAAGACGAUCAUUUGAUGUGAGACGUUGAAGGCAACCGCCUCACCGCCGCCGCAAUUCUCGGCUAAGACGGUAGCGUCUGGGCUCAUAGCUGAUUCUUAUUAGCUAUGUGCGUUUGACUCGACGAGACUUUGUUGUUUCUGGUUCGAUCUGUAUUUAAAGCUGCAACCUUUUUGGGGCCUCGUGUUACGUGCUCGUGAUCAUUGAAGCCUGAGGAGAUCAGUGGCAUCAACAAUGACUUUGCGGAGCCUGGAACACUUGCCCCAAUAGGAUUGUUCAUCGGUGGAACAAAGUCAUGGUAAUCCAAGGAUAACCAAAUGCUGUCAUUCGAGGAAAUAAGGGAGCUGGGGGUGUUACCAUCACGAAGACCAUACAAGCCUUGGUGUUUGGUAUCUUUGAAGAACCAAUGGCUCCUGGACAGUGCAAUAUGGUCGUGGGACUAUCUGAUUGAAUCGGGGCUCUGAAACUCAAGCUGCUGAUAGAGAAACUAUUUUAUAUUACCUCCUACCAUGGGAUGGAUGUUUGGGUUUGUAUGAUUCUAAAACCAAUAUGGUGUUGCCUUAAUUUAUGUCGGUUUGAAUUUUUUUUAUUGAAUGACAAUGUGAUACCAUAUAUCAAAUUG